rnacentral:rRNA from 1 species
CCGGUGGGGGGGGCCUUACGCUGCGUGUCUGGGGCUGUAUCGACCGCGGAUCUUUGAGGGCGGGGCUGGGGUGCUUACCGGUCUUGUACCUGCCUUUUUCUGGCCGUGAACGCUGGGAGUGUCUGAUUUCUGCCCCCUAUGAGCGCUGCCUCCGGGAUUGUACUAGGUAGGCUUCGGUCGUAACAGAGGGUCCAGCGUCCUAUUAGCUUGUUGGUGAGGUAAUGGCUCACCAAGGCUACGAUAGGUAGGGGACCUGAGAGGGUGAACCCCCACACUGGUACUGAGACACGGACCAGACUCCUACGGGAGGCAGCAGUGAGGAAUAUUGGGCAAUGGAGGAAACUCUGACCCAGCCAUGCCGCGUGCAGGAAGACGGCCCUCUGGGUUGUAAACUGCUUUUAUAUGGGAAUAAACCCUUCCACGUGUGGAAGGCUGAAGGUACCAUAAGAAUAAGGAUCGGCUAACUCCGUGCCAGCAGCCGCGGUAAUACGGAGGAUCCAAGCGUUAUCCGGAUUUAUUGGGUUUAAAGGGUCCGUAGGCGGGUCUUUAAGUCAGUGGUGAAAGCCUGCAGCUUAACUGUAGAAUUGCCAUUGAUACUGAAGGCCUUGAGUGUAGUAGAAGUAGGCGGAAUAUGGCAUGUAGCGGUGAAAUGCAUAGAUAUGCCAUAGAACACCGAUUGCGAAGGCAGCUUACUAUGUUACAACUGACGCUGAGGGACGAAAGCGUGGGUAGCAAACAGGAUUAGAUACCCUGGUAGUCCACGCCGUAAACGAUGAUUACUCGCUGUUAGCGAUAUACAGUUAGCGGCCAAGCGAAAGCAUUAAGUAAUCCACCUGGGGAGUACGCCGGCAGCGGUGAAACUCAAAGGAAUUGACGGGGGCCCGCACAAGCGGUGGAGCAUGUGGUUUAAUUCGAUGAUACGCGAGGAACCUUACCAGGGUUUAAAUGGAAAUUGACAGACGCCGAAAGGUGUCCUUCUUCGGACAAUUUUCAAGGUGCUGCAUGGUUGUCGUCAGCUCGUGCCGUGAGGUGUUGGGUUAAGUCCCGCAACGAGCGCAACCCCUACUGUUAGUUGCCAGCGGAUAACGCCGGGGACUCUAGCAGAACUGCCAGCGCAAGCUGAGAGGAAGGUGGGGACGACGUCAAAUCAUCACGGCCCUUACAUCCUGGGCCACACACGUGCUACAAUGGUAGUGACAGAGGGCAGCCACUGGGUGACCAGGAGCGAUUCCCUUAAACCCUAUCUCAGUUCGGAUCGAAGUCUGCAACUCGACUUCGUGAAUCUGGAAUCGUCUAGUAAUCGCGCAUCAGCCAUGGCGCGGUGAAUACGUCUCCCGGGCCUUGUACACACCGCCCGUCAAGCCAUGGAAGCUGGGAGUGCCUAGAGUCGGUACCCGACUCGGGAUAACCGCGGGGCGCCAGCCC